rnacentral:rRNA from 1 species
UGCCAGCCGCCGCGGUAAUACGUAGGGAGCAAGCGUUAUCCGGAUUUACUGGGUGUAAAGGGCGUGUAGGCGGGUCUGUAAGUUGGAAGUGAAAUCUGGGGGCUCAACCCCCAAACUGCUUUCAAAACUGCGGAUCUUGAGUGAUGGAGAGGCAGGCGGAAUUCCCAGUGUAGCGGUGAAAUGCGUAGAUAUUGGGAGGAACACCAGUGGCGAAGGCGGCCUGCUGGACAUUAACUGACGCUGAGGCGCGAAAGCGUGGGGAGCAAACAGGAUUAGAUA